ensembl:lncRNA
UUUUUUUUUUCUUUUUAGGGCCCUACCUGCAGCAGUUCCCAGGCUAAGGGUCAAAUCAGAGCUACAGCUGCCUGCCACAGCCACAGCCACAGCAACACAGGAGAAAUGCAACCAAGCCCACAUUUUACAGAAGGUCGCUGACAGUCCCAUGAAAGUUACUGCUAGUCAUAAGGAGCAGAUGUCACCAUGAAGGAUCUUAGUGCUUUUCUAGAUAGGAGGAGAUGCAAGAAUUGGGUUCAUAAAAGCUUCUACUGAAAAUAUCUAUCUAAAAACAUGUUCUGUAAGUUUUCCCAGAGCACAGAGGGUCUCCCUCUUGAUCUCCACCCUGAAUUCCUUUCAGAGCAUGUUGAGGGUCAGCAGCUGCAGUGGCUCAGGAUUCAAUCCUUGUAGAGGCAGAUGGUAAGUGCCAACUCCAGCUCACAGGCACACAAACCUGAGUUUGAUUUGGUAACAACAGAAAUAUAUACCAGAGCAGGAAAAAAGCAGAAAGAUAAAAGUGGUUGCCUCUGAAGAACAGGACUCCCUGUUUCCUAUACAACCACCCAGGUCUGUAUUUGAGAACUUGAGUUUGAAUUCUGACACUGCUCGGUACUGGCUAUAAGACCACAGGCAAGAGAUCUCAUCUCUCUGAGCCUCAGUUUCUUCAGCUGUAAAAUGGAGAUGACACCGCCAUCUUUUUUUUUAAUAGCAAAUAGUUUAUUAGUAAGUACAUGGUUUCAGUGACCAUAAUAAAUUCACUUAGAAGACAAUAAUCAAAUCAAAAGAAUACACGCUUGCUGAUCAUCAGAAAAUCUGUAGCUCUUGAUCAGAGGCCAAAUCUUAAAGAAGAUAUAUCUUCCUAUCAGUCCAUAUGGAACAAGUCCAUAGUACCUGGAAUGUGUAGAAUUCUGUAGAUUAUCACCUUCUAACUAAAUGUGACCUGUUGGCACAUAACUAUGACCUUUAAAGAAAUCUGAUUGACUAUUGGUGAGAAUUUUGUCUUCCUCCAAACCAACUACUCUUUUAUAAAUAUUUGAUUUUGGAUCACUCAGGCUUUUGCAAUCACAAUAUCACCUCUCUGGAUACUACAAAAAUGUCAACUAGGAUUUUCUGCAAAGACAAUAUCUGAAUUUUGAAUUGUAGGCUCCACUGAUGGUCCAGAACGCAUAACACCACCAACACAGUCAAAAGCACAAUGAGCUAUACAGCCACACUGAAUAGUAUAGCCAACAAGUUGAAAGGUUUUUCCCAGAAUACCACGAAGCAUAGUUCUUUGGAGACUCUGCCACUAUUGGCCAUAGGUCUACGCAACAAUACAUUCAAUUUUUAGGGUAGCUGCGGGCUUCCAGAAAAAAAAAAUGUAAAGCAUGUCUCAAAGCAUAUACAGGUUGAUUCAUGGUUUCAGGAUUCCUGGGCCUCACAGACGUCCACCGUUCUGACGUGAUACCACCAAUCUUAAAGGGUUGUUGUGAAUAAUUAAUGCAUCACUAGUGAAAGCAAAAGUAAUGAUGCCAUGUUCCUUCUUACAAGACCUCAAAGACUCCUGUUGCCUUUAAAAUGGAGUCAGACUCCUUCAAAGAACUCCACAGCCUAUACUCUGUUCUCUUUUGUUGUGUCUCUGACUGCAAUCCUGCAGGCAUUUUACAAUCCAGCCAUAUCAGAUUAUUUGCCAUGCCCCAACUGCUUUCACAUAUGUACCAUUUUGCUUGCUAAUCCUCCACCUGGAAUGCCUCCUCUCUGAUUCUCCCCCCCACCUACCUCCCUAUAUCCACAUAUAGCAGUCCUACCCGUUCUGCCCUGCCCAGCUCAAACCAUGCAUCCUUUCACAGACUUCCCUAAAUUUCACCAGUCACAAGUCACUUCCCCAUCCCCAAUACACCCAUGAGGCUCUGUAGCUCUACUGUAACCACAAUUCUUUGUACAUAUCUUCUGCUUCCUCCAGACCAGUGUUUUGUAGAGUGUGGAUCAGAAUGAUCUGGAAUGCUUGAGAGCAAUUCAGAUUCCAGGGCGACCCCACCCUGUAGAAUCAGAAGCUCUGCAGAUGAGUGCUGAAAAUCCCCGUUUUCACAAGUUCUUCAGGUGAUUUUUAGCCUUACGAAAGUUCCAGAACAUUUGCCCUAUACUGAAACACCCCUCAAAAGAAUUACACCUCAUGCUACUGUGGAUUCUUUCUCCCUCUGCAUCUGUUGCUCAGGGUAUAAUCAUUCAAUAAAAUUUUUAAAUAUUAAUUCAAUGUGGCCACAAGGGAAUCUUGGAGUGGAAGCCAUAACUGCAAAUCCCAAGAAUUUUACACCACCUUCUCCCGAUUGAGUUUUCAAUGAAUUUUACUUUAAAAGUGAGGGAAAGUGCUUAAGGUCUUAAGGAUAUCAAAAUGUAUUAUUCUUUCUUCCCUCUGUGUUUCCUAAUCCACUAUUGAGUUUUCAGAAAUGUAUAACAAAAGGUAUAGCUUUUAAUAUCUACUGCAGUAAGAAAAGACCUCUGUGUAGCAAUUCUUAAUCAGAAUGAGAAUAAUGUUCUUGCCCUUCAUCCUUGCAGCUUUUAAUAUCUGUACACUGUAUUUAAUCAUCCGGGCCCCUUAAUUUACUGACAUUUAAAUGAUCUCAAAUUAGAUUUCCUGGAGCACUGUUCCAAAUAGGUAACUUUUUAAGAUAAUGCAAGGUCUUAUUAGUUGCAAAUCAUGCCAUUGGUUGCCACUUGCAGCUUCUACACCUUCUUGAAAAAUUACCCUAUUUAAAGGAUUUUUUUUUCAAUGUGGUCAGAGUCUAUAUAACUAUGUAACCAUCUGAGUUUUUUCGUUUUAGUCAGAAUAAUAUUGAAAUAGUGGAACACAAUAGAGAAGAGUCUUCUUUCUCAUCUUUUAAGCACUUUAAACACUUUAAAUUUAGAUACGCAAUAAUUUUUUAUAUUUAUGUCAUAUUAUUUUCACAUGUGUCAUUAUAUUUGGUCCUCAAAACAUUCCUGUGAGGCUAAUAGAGUUGCUCUUAUUUUUUUAUUGAAGUAUAGUUGAUUUACAAUAUUGUGUUAGUUUCCGGUAUACAGCAAUGUGAUUCAAUUUAACAUGUAUGUGUGUGUCUAUAUAUAUUUACAUAUACAUAGAUAUUUGUUUUCGUAUUCUUUUUCACUAUGGUUUCUUACAGGAUGUCGAAUAUAAUUCCGUGUGUUAUAGAGUAGGACCUUGUUUUUUUUAUUUUUUUAUAUAUAGUAGUUUGUACCUACUAAUAAUCCCAAACACCUAAUUUUUUUUGAGUCAUAUGAUAAGAGUAUGUUUAAUUUUGUAAGAAACUGCCAAACUGUCUUCCAAAGUGACUAUGCCAUUUGGCAUUCCCUUUAGCAAUGAAUGAGAGUUGCUGUUGUUCCACACCCUCACCAGCAUUUGGUUUUGUCAGUGUUUCCAAUUAUGACCAUUCUAGUAAAUAUGUACUGGUAUCUCAUUGUUGUUUGAAUUUGCAUUUCCCUGAUGGUAUAUGAUGUAGACCAAAUUCCUAAUUUAUCCCUCAUCCCCCACCCUCUUUCCCCUUUGGUAACCAUAAGUUUGCCUUCUAUGUCUGUGAGUCUGUUUCUGUUUUGUAAAUGAGUUCAUUUGUAUAAUAUUUUAUAUUCCACAUAUAAAUGAUGCCAUAUUGGUGUUCCUCUUUCUUAUUUCUCUUGGUAUGAUAAUGUCUAGGUCCACCAUGUUGCUGUAAAUGGUAUUAUUUCACCCUUUUUAUGGCUGAGUAGUAUUCCAUUGUGUAUGUGUACCACAUCUUAUUUAUCCAUUCCUCUGUCAAUGGUCAUUUAGGUUGCUUCUAUGUCUUGGCUAUUGUAAAUAGUGCUGCUAUAAACAUUAGGGUGCAUAUAUAUUUUCAAAUUACAGUCUUCUCCAGAUAUAUGCCUAUGAGUGGGAUUGCUGGGCCAUAUGGCAGUAGAGUUUCUAUUAUUAAUUCAGUUUUAUAGAUGAAGAAAAUGGGUUUCAGGGAAGUCAUGUGAUUCAGCCCAAAGCACACCAUUACAGUGCAAACAUAUCUUCUGACACUGAAAGCAUGUUUGUUUCUAUUUUUCAGUUUCUCAAAUUUUUGGACUGCCACAAUUAGGACAUAUAUCCCUAAGGUAUAGCUACUCAUCCCUACUAAUUCAAGAUACCAUUGAUCAUGUACUGAAAAACUAUGACCAUUCCAACUCCCUACAGGUGCCUUUCAGAGAUGGUGAGAUCACAUGAUACAGGCAGCAUCUAUUUCACAUACAAACAAAACCAGGCGACCCUAGACUCCCUAUUGGAAAAGGAUGGCAGUCCCCUGCUAGUGACAUGCUAAGCCUACAGCCUUAUUCCUACUCAUAUAAUUAGAGUCCAUACAAGCCCUGACCUGCAGAGAAGGGUGACCCUAAUGAAGAUGUGCCAAAUUAAUUAAGAAAUGCACUAGAGAUUACAUGUUCCCUCAAAAAUUCAGGAAUUUCACUGAAUUGACAGUUCAUUAGGAUUCAAUGCACUGACUAUUCAAAAGGAAACACCAUUUCACUCCAUAUUAGUCUAAGCACAGGGACCAGAACCAGGGAAGUGGUAGUAGGGAAACUGCAGGAAAACCAACCUGGUGAGUUUGACAUAUAUCCUCUGGAGUUUUGAGAACAUACAAAUUGCUCUCUGCUGUCACCUGGAAGUUUAAAGAUGAAAGACAGGCUAGGGUAGGCUAUAAGGGGAGCAGCUGGCAUGACCAGAGUUUAACAGGAAAAAGUGUUUUCAAUGGGCAACAAUAAAUAUGGAGGAAGGUCAAUGGGUGGGAAUCAUCCUACCAGGGCCCAGCCUAAGAGCUCUGGAUACUAGGGUGGUGGUAUCUCCAGAGAAAAUGUGCAUCAGGUAUACUGCCAGAAGCAGAAGGAGAGGGCUGGGAUGGUGCAGUGGAAUUGAAACCAGAAAGAGCAUAAUGGGUAGAAGAGGAGGAGGACAAGAGCUGAGAGGAAUGGAAAAAAUGCAGACUUGGCUCCUUUGGUGGACUCCAUGAUGUGCUGCCCAGUUCCUCAUUCAGGAUGAAGGACUUACUCCCUCCUGCCCUGGAGUGCUGUCCAUUGAUAUCCCUCAGCUCCCAGCCUCCAAUGGAGAUUGCCUCAGCAGAGAAAAAGCCACCUUGCCUAAAGUCAUGUCUACUUUCAGGGUGGACUUCAUGCAAUGACUGAUCAAUGCAGGGUAUAAAGGCCUGGCCCCCUCAACCAAUUGAGGACAACUCCAAAGGGUCAUCUCAGCUUCAGAGCCCCCCAGAGUGUUGACCAAAACCUCCUCUGAAAUGCAGUAUAGCUCAGCUUCUCCCUCUACCCAAUCCUGC